rnacentral:pre_miRNA from 1 species
UAGGCUGAUCAACAAUCCUGGUUUGCCUGGGGCUGAAGGGUUUCUCAGGACACGAAACUUGCAAGAACUGUAACAGUUCUAGACAAGCUGGGAUGGCUGGUCAACCUAACAUUAG